rnacentral:rRNA from 1 species
UCAAGCGAUAGGUAAGAGCAUUUGGCGAAUGCCUAGGCAAUCAGAGGCGAAGAAGGACGUGAUACACUGCGAAAAGCCGUGGGGAGCUGUGAAUAAGCAUUGAUCCGCGGAUGUCCGAAUGGGGAAACCCGGCCGCAAGGUCACUUUCACACGAAUACAUAGUGUAGAAAGAGCGAACGCAGGGAACUGAAACAUCUAAGUACCUGUAGGAAAGGAAAUCAACCGAGACUCCGAAAGUAGUGGCGAGCGAAAUCGGACCAGCCGAUGGAUUUAUUAAUAAGAAUUGGAAGCAUCUGGAAAGUUGCACCAAAGAAGGUGAUAGUCCUGUACAAGUAGAAAGUUAAUAAAUUCUUGAGUAAGGCGGAGCACGAGAAAUUCUGUCUGAAAAUGGGGAGACCACUCUCCAAGGCUAAGUACUACUGAUUGACCGAUAGUGAACAAGUACCGUGAGGGAAAGGUGAAAAGCACCCCUAUAAGGGGAGUGAAAGAGAACCUGAAACCGAAUGCUUACAAGCAGUCGGAGGGUCUUUAAGGCCUGACGGCGUACCUUUUGUAUAAUGGGUCAGCGACUUAGUGUAUGUAGCAAGCUUAAGCCGAUAGGUGUAGGCGUAGCGAAAGCGAGUUUUAAUAGAGCGAUAAGUUACAUGCAUUAGACCCGAAACCGAGUGAUCUAGCCAUGAGCAGGUUGAAGGUUGGGUAACACCAACUGGAGGACCGCACCCAUAUCUGUUGAAAAAGAUAGGGAUGACUUGUGGCUAGGGGUGAAAGGCCAAUCAAACUCGGAAAUAGCUGGUUCUCCGCGAAAACUAUUUAGGUAGUGCGGUGAGCGGACACCUUGAGGGGUAGAGCACUGAAAGAGCUAAGGGGGAGCGAUCCUUACUAAACUUUAUCAAACUCCGAAUACUCAAGAGUGAUACUCACCAGACAGACAUUAGGUGCUAAGGUCUAGUGUCGAGAGGGAAAGAGCCCAGACCGUCAAUUAAGGUCCCAAAAUUAUGGCUAAGUGGUAAAGGAAGUGAAUUGUCCAAAACAGUCAGGAGGUUGGCUUAGAAGCAGCCAUCCUUUAAAGAAAGCGUAAUAGCUCACUGAUCUAAACAAGACGAUUUGCGCCGAAGAUGUAACGGGGCUAAAGCCAUAUACCGAAAUUACGGAUUUACACGUAAGUGUAAGUGGUAGCGGAGCGUUCUGUAGGCCUGCGAAGGUGAACCGUAAGGUUUGCUGGAGGUAUCAGAAGUGAGAAUGCUGACAUGAGUAGCGAAAAGAAGAGUGAGAGACUCUUCCGCUGAAAGUCCAAGGUUUCCUGCGUAAAGCUAAUCUGCGCAGGGUUAGUCGGCCCCUAAGGCGAGGCAGAGAUGCGUAGUCGAUGGGAAUCAGGUUAAUAUUCCUGAACCAACUAGGAAGUGACGGAUUCAGUAAAUUGUAUGUCCUUAUUGGAUUGGAUAUGCAGUGAAUGAGUUCCAGGAAAUAGCCCUAGUAUAGACCGUACCCCAAACCGACACAGGUGGACAGGUAGAGAAUACCAAAGCGCUUGAGAGAACUAUGUUGAAGGAACUAGGCAAAAUACUUGCGUAACUUCGGGAUAAGCAAGCCCCAUUUUAAGGCAACUUAAGGUGGGGGGCACAUACUAGGGGGUAGCGACUGUUUACUAAAAACACAGGACUCUGCUAAAUUGAAAGAUGAAGUAUAGGGUCUGACGCCUGCCCGGUGCUGGAAGGUUAAGGAGAGAUGUGAGAGCAUUGAACUGAAGCCCCAGUAAACGGCGGCCGUAACUAUAACGGUCCUAAGGUAGCGAAAUUCCUUGUCGGGUAAGUUCCGACCU